rnacentral:rRNA from 1 species
CUUGCCCUACGGGAGGCAGCAGUGGGGAAUAUUGCACAAUGGGGGAAACCCUGAUGCAGCGACGCCGCGUGAGUGAAGAAGUAUUUCGGUACGUAAAGCUCUAUCAGCAGGGAAGAAAAUGACGGUACCUGACUAAGAAGCCCCGGCUAACUACGUGCCAGCAGCCGCGGUAAUACGUAGGGGGCAAGCGUUAUCCGGAUUUACUGGGUGUAAAGGGAGCGUAGACGGCAGCGCAAGUCUGAAGUGAAAUCCCAUGGCUUAACCAUGGAACUGCUUUGGAACCUGUGCAGCUGGA